rnacentral:rRNA from 1 species
GACGAACGCUGGCGGCGUGCUUAACACAUGCAAGUCGAACGGAAAGGCCCUGCUUGCAGGGUGCUCGAGUGGCGAACGGGUGAGUAACACGUGGGUGAUCUGCCCCUUACUUUGGGAUAAGCCUGGGAAACUGGGUCUAAUACUGGAUAGGACCAUGCUGUAGGUGGUGUGGUGGAAAGAUUAGUUUCGGUAAGGGAUGAGCUCGCGGCCUAUCAGCUUGUUGGUGGGGUAAUGGCCUACCAAGGCGUCGACGGGUAGCCGGCCGGAGAGGGUGGACGGCCACAUUGGGACUGAGAUACGGCCCAGACUCCUACGGGAGGCAGCAGUGGGGAAUAUUGCACAAGGGGCGCAAGCCUGAUGCAGCGACGCCGCGUGGGGGAUGACGGCCUUCGGGUUGUAAACUCCUUUCAGCCAUGACGAAGCCCUUGUGGUGACGGUAGUGGUAGAAGAAGCACCGGCUAACUACGUG